AACAGUUUGGCUACAUGAUAUUUUAACGAGAGUUGGCAAUGCACUAAAAGAUUUCUCAGUGUAAGAAACACACUUUGUGGCUUUUUUAUAAAAGGUUCACUUUGUAUUCUCAAUAUAAAAUUCAGCCAUAUUUCUCACAGGAAAUUUAUGGAAGGAUAAUUCCGAAUUUUGAACACUGUCGCUUCGACAAAGUGGCACACAACAGGUCGUUCCCCUGUACAUUUUACCUUUAGCACUUUUUCUGCAGUAAAAUAGCAGCUCCAAGAAGCUUAAUUUCUAUUGGCUGAAGCUUUAAUAGGGGUGGCAGAGGGUGGCAGCCAAUCGGAGGCUGGACAGCUGUCACGUGAAAAGCUCGACCAAUGAAAUCGCGCUAUUUUCCCAUAGUGUUUGCGAAGAUUUUUGGCCCGUCAACUGAAUUUGCAUUGGACACAGAAGCACUCAAAAAAUAUAUAUAAAUAUUAAAAUUUUUCUAUCAAAAUGCAACCGUGGCCUUAGUAUUAUAAAAGGACUGGCGAUAUGUGCAAGAAUUUCUGAGGUAAACGUUAUUUUUUAACCUGUUUUCGAUGAUUAAAGUUGGUCAUGUGGCAACGUGAUGACUCAAGUCCGAUUCUGUUUACAACUUUCAAACUAAAAAAUCUGGAUUUCCCAUGGUUCGAUUUUCGUAAUUUGUGCAAAAAAAUUCAAGACAAAUGGUCUAAACUAAAAAUCUGCUGGAGGGAUCCCCCAGAUCCGCUGCAGAUUUCGAGAUAUUUGGCAUUGAAGUGACCAUACUCAUUUCAACCUUUGCCAAAGUGGCGUCUAAAUAUCUGGGGAAGGUAUUGCCACAGAGGAAGUAUAUACAUUUUUACUCUUUGGUAUUGCGCCCCCAAAGCUUGGUUUUCACAAUGAAUUUUGAAAGUUCCCUAAUAUUAGGAUAAUUUUUCUUUGCAGUAAGUGUUUAACUACUUUUGAAAGACUAUUUAGAAAACUUUGGGAGUUAUUUGCCUGUUUUUACAGAUUUGUAGUAACAAUGCAUUAAUACAGUUAUCGUGUUAAUAAUUUUACAGUCAAAUUUCCGUUUUGUUGUUUUUAUUCUUGUACUGUAUAAAUUUUAUAUAAAAUACACUGAACAAAGUUAUGGCGCCAUUUGAUCCUAUUGUGUGUGUAUAUGUACUGUGUCACCAUAGGCAGCCCGGCAAAUAGUGUAAAAAUGCUUUAAACGCUUAAAAAUACGUAUAAAGUUCGCCUGACUUUGCCAUCAUGCGAUUUAUUGUGUAGCUCAUUAUAUAUGCAGAUUCCGAUGUUUACGUCAUUUUACGUCAUUGUAUUUUCAUAUAGUAUAAUAUCCUAUAUGAUAUAUAUAUUAUACUAUAUAUACUAUACUAUACUAUAGGAUAUUAUACUAUAUGAAAAUACAAUGACGUAAAAUGACGUAAACAUCGGAAUCUGCAUAUAUAAUGAGCUACACAAUAAAUCGCAUGAUGGCAAAGUCAGGCGAACUUUAUACGUAUUUUUAAGCGUUUAAAGCAUUUUUACACUAUUUGCCGGGCUGCCUAUGGUGUCACUGUGAUACAUAUGUACAUGUUUUGAGUUAAACGAAUUGUUUAAUACAUUUUUGCUGAAAUAUCAUGCCUGUUUGUAUGGAUAGAUUUUACAUAUAUGUGACUGCAUACAAUAGUUAGAUAUUUUUCAAUUUUCAUCUGUAAAAUAUUGCCAUAUUUGUGUGUUGUUCUAGUAUUACUGUAAAUGGUGAGACACUUUUGCAUUGGAUUGCUAAUUUUAGAGAUUACAGUGUAUGUAUAAAAUAAUAAAAUAGAAAAUUUCUUGUUAUGAUUUUGUAGAUGGUCAUGAUGGAUAUGGUAAUGAACUAAUGAAGGUGAUAAGGCAGAAAGUGAUGACCAGUUAAGUUAUGAGGAUUAAAGUGACGAGGAUGAAAUCACCCAUACUGUACCAUUCAAGUGAAUCGGUGCUGCUCAUGAGAAAAAUUACCGACAUCAUUUGGAACAGGCAUGCCUUGCUCGUCAUGGACAAGAUAAACCAAUGAAUGUAAGAAUACAGUCAGAGCCAUUGAAUCCAAUGGACCCAAGUGCAAUUGAUGUAGACUAUGGAACUGGAUGGACACAUGUGAUGUUGGCUAUAUUGCUUCUGAAUUAUGCAAGUCUUUGCACCCACUAAUUGCCGCAGGAGAUAUCUUAGAGGUCUAUGUUCAGUAUAUAAAGUAUAGGGUUGACUUUUUUUAAAUAGGAUUUUAUCUAAAAUUUUUCAUAAAGUGACAUGGUCAGUGGCCAGAGUGGGAGACUCAAGUGGUAAGGAGGAGCAUGAGUGUAUGUUGACAGAUGUUUGUGAUAUAAUAGUAACUGACUAGGUUUAGCAAGUUAUACAGUAGAAAUGAUGUUAUUUAAAUUGUCAUUUUGGCCAACUUUUUAGAUUUUUUCAACAUUUUUACCUUUCACUUUAUCGCCAAACAAAAAUAAUUUAAUUUACUGUUGAUGCAAUGGAAGUGUUGAUAAAAUAUUGCAUGAAUUCAUUUCCUCAAGUUGAUAAAUUCAUACGAAUUCUAAUUUCUUUUUACUUCCUGUGUGUUUCCUAUUGGUCAAUCGGCUCUGAAACGAAAUCUAAUUGGCUCAUUUAAAAGUAACAGGAAGUUUAUCAAUUUUCUAUCAAAUGAAUUGAUGAACUUGAGGAAGGAAUUGGUGCAAUAUUUUAUCAACACUUCCAUUGCAUUGACAGUAAGCAGGUGGGUAUCUAUAAGAAAACAAUAUCUGUCAUGUGCACUUGUGCAACUCCCUCAAAAAUAGCAAUAUUGGUUGUUUUUUUUAAAUAAUAAUUUAUUAUUAGGACACCAAUAUGGUUCUCAUUAAAAAACCAUGUGCUAUAAAUAAAUGCAUCUACCUAUUUCGAGACUGAAUAUAAUUUAUUUUGUCAAGCCAUUUGAAAUUGCUGUGACUUUGUGUAACUGGCCUUUUGCAGGAAUUAAACCUAAACCCUAAAGCACCAAGUGACCCAUCCCCAACAAUAAAAUUACAUCUUACUGUCAAUUUCAAUUUGUCUUUGAAAUCUGACCACCAAUGUUUAUUUGUAUGUUCGGAAUGAAUGUUGUAAAGUUUGACUGCAGGUCGUUUUAAAUACCAACCUAAUUUUGUGAUACUCUUUCAAGCUGUGAUGAAAUUUUUGUAUAGACUUGUUGAGAUCUAAAUUUUAGUCAAAAGGUGAAAGGUUAGCGAAAAGCCACCUUAAGUAGGGGACUCCACGGAGAUUCGUUUGGCUGUAUCUUACAUGCAGUUAGCCUCCUCCGCAGGCAUCUCUUAAUCGUCGAGAACUUAUAUAAUUUAGUUAUUCAAAUAACUGAAUCAGAGUGAUGUUUUUAUUGGGUUACCUUCUAGGUAAGCCCAUGAGAUGCCUGCGGAGGAGGCUAACAUGCAGUAUCCAUGAGUAUGAGUACUUCCGCACACCGGAAGACGCAUUCGCAUGUUGUGGUGUGCAUGUGAAGUGGCGACAAUAACAAAAAAAUGUAAACAAUACUUAAGGUGGCUUUUCGACUGAAAAAUGACUGUAGGGUCCCUUUAAUAGCGAUUUACAUAUGAAUAAUUGGCCAUGCUUUCAAAAUGUAUAUAUUAAUAAAACACAAAAGUAUCUUUCAAAUAUGCUGGGUCUUUACUACUUUUUAAUACGAAAAGUGAUCAAAAAUCAGAUUAUUGAAAUUAGGAAGAGUUGCUCUUUCAAAUGAUACCAAGAAAACAAGGACCCCAGAAACCAACGAGAAAUCAUGUUUUGAAAAUGGGAUGUUUUUGUCAUAUUCAUGCCGCUAAUGUAAAAUAUAUAAAUAAACUAGCCGAAUAAUAUAUGACGUAAUAAAACAGACAAUAAAUGCAAAAUAACAGUGAUUUUUAUUUAGUGUAAGUCAGUGACAAAAAAUGUUCGAAGUCAAGUUUAGUCAUUCAGAAUAUGUAAAUUAAUAUCUUGACAGACUUGACUAGUAUAUAUUAAUUAUUUUAAUAGUGUAUAAACAAAUAUAUGCUUGUUUAUGGCCAUUCUUUUAGUGUCCACACCUCCCUGUUGACAAUGUUACUGAUUUUAGACCCCUUCGGAAAUGGUUUUCCAGAAGAACCCCUCGGAAAUUUUCUUAGAAAUGUUUUACAAUUUUUCUCAAGCCCCUCGGAAAUAACUGUUGACAUUGUUCCAUUACGAUAGACCCCCUCGGAAAUUUUCGGGAAUUUAUUCACCUCCCUCAGAAAUUUUCAGGAAUUUAUUGACCGCCCCCUCGGAAAUUUUCGUCAACAGGUAUACCUUCCUUCUCCCCACCCCCGGAAAUUAAAAAAAAACUGACCCCAGAUAUUUCCCUUUUUAUACAACCCCCCUUGGAAAUUUCAACUGACACCCUGUCAGAAUUUCAGAUCCCCUUCGGAAAUCUAGUCAAUGCGGAUAUUAAAUGGAAUUGCCCUUAAAGUGCUACUGCAACGAAUUUUUCGACCUCAUUUUUUUAGCUUAAUCAAAAGUGCUUUCCUUCCUAACCUGUACCACAAACAGAAUGAAAUUGGAAUUGGUCAAUUCAAACCGAUUUUAUAGCCUUCCAAAGUGGCCAUUUUUUGCACGUCCUGUGCGAACUUUUGAUCGGCCAUUUGAUGCUAUGUGACGUCAUAAGAUUUCG
rnacentral:lncRNA from 1 species